rnacentral:rRNA from 1 species
AUUGAACGCUGGCGGCAGGCCUAACACAUGCAAGUCGAGCGAGCGGCGGACGGGUGAGUAAUGUAUGGGGACUGCCCGAUAGAGGGGGAUAACUACUGGAAACGGUGGCUAAUACCGCAUACUAUCGGAUAACCCAUAUGGGAUUAGCUAGUAGGUGGGGUAAAGGCUCACCUAGGCGACGAUCGCUAGCUGGUCUGAGAGGAUGAUCAGCCACAGAGGGACGGCGAUAACGCCCAGACUCCGACGGAGGCGGAAGGUGGGGAUAUGGGACAAUGGUCGAAAGCCUGAUGCAGCGACGCCGCGUGGGGGAUGAGGGUUUUCGGGUUGUAAACCUCUUUCGCUAUCGAAAGGGUAGGUGGAGAAGAAGCGCCGGCUAACUACGUGCCAGCAGCCGCGGUAAUUC